rnacentral:rRNA from 1 species
AGCGAACGCUGGCGGCAGGCCUAACACAUGUAAGUCGAACGAACUCUUCGGAGUUAGUGGCGGACGGGUGAGUAACACGUGGGAACGUGCCUUUUGGUUCGGAAUAACUCAGGGAAACUUGUGCUAAUACCGAAUGUGCCCUUCGGGGGAAAGAUUUAUCGCCAUUAGAGCGGCCCGCGUCUGAUUAGCUAGUUGGUGAGGUAACGGCUCACCAAGGCGACGAUCAGUAGCUGGUCUGAGAGGAUGACCAGCCACACUGGGACUGAGACACGGCCCAGACUCCUACGGGAGGCAGCAGUGGGGAAUCUUGCGCAAUGGGCGAAAGCCUGACGCAGCCAUGCCGCGUGAAUGAUGAAGGUCUUAGGAUUGUAAAAUUCUUUCACCGGGGACGAUAAUGACGGUACCCGGAGAAGAAGCCCCGGCUAACUUCGUG